rnacentral:snoRNA from 1 species
UUCUAGGUCCAAAAUGUUAUAUUUUUUCCAAGUACAUAUCUGAUUGCUCUAUGUGGAAAAUGACUUUUGCUGAGUGAUUCUGGGU